AAGAAAUUUUGGCUAAUGCCGCAUACGAAGCACGGUUUUAAGACUGUGUUUGAAAGAAUGCCUCUGCAUAUGCAUUCGCUAUUAGAUGGGCCUGCGGGACAUUAGCUAGUUGGUGGGGUAAAGGCCUACCAAGGCGACGAUGUCUAUCCGGUCUGAGAGGAUGAUCGGACACACUGGAACUGAGACACGGUCCAGACUCCUACGGGAGGCAGCAGUGGGGAAUAUUGCGCAAUGGGGGAAACCCUGACGCAGCAACGCCGCGUGAGUGAGGAAGGACUUCGGUCUGUAAAGCUCUGUUAAUGUGGAAAAAUGGCAGUUGGUCUAAUAGGCCGAUUGUUUGAUGGUACACAUAGAGGAAGCACCGGCUAACUUCGUGCCAGCAGCCGCGGUAAUACGAAGGGUGCAAGCGUUGUUCGGAUUUAUUGGGCGUAAAGCGCGCGUAGGCGGACCUGCAAGUCAGAUGUGAAAUCUCGGGGCUCAACCUCGAAACUGCGUCUGAAACUACAGGUCUAGAAUCUCGGAGGGGGAAGGGGAAUAUCGCAUGUAGGGGUAAAAUCCGUAGAUAUGCGAUGGAACACCAGAGGCGAAGGCGCCUUCCUGGACGAGUAUUGACGC
rnacentral:rRNA from 1 species